rnacentral:rRNA from 1 species
UACGUAGGGACCGAGCGUUGUCCGGAUUCAUUGGGCGUAAAGAGCUCGUAGGCGGCUGUUCAAGUCGAACGUGAAAACUCGGAGCUCAACUCCGAGCCUGCGUUCGAUACUGGACGGCUAGAGUCUGGUAGGGGGAUCUGGAAUUCCUGGUGUAGCGGUGGAAUGCGCAGAUAUCAGGAAGAACACCCGUGGCGAAGGCGGCUCUCUGGUACGUGACUGACGCUGAGACGCGAAAGCGUGGGGAGCAAACAGG